GCUAAUCUCUUUUACUAUUUUUCUGCAGCUGAGAGAGAAUCUUUCCGCAGCUGCCAGUCUAGUGGUUACGCUUGCGUUCCCUGGUAUCGCUGCCUCGCAGGGUAUUGGAUAUUUGCAAGAGGAUGCGGAAUCGGGUCCGUUUGCUGCAACCUCCGAGAAAUGAACACGUGCUACGCAGCUGGCGGAACUUGUAAACGGAAAUGCGAAACCUCUGUCAGCGCAAGGGGCCAAUGCUUCUUUGGCCUGAAGUGCUGCACCCAAGUGCUCUUCUAGCGAGUUUCCACCCGAAAUGCCCAUCAUGAAUUUUUACAGAUGACUUUCGUCCUGAAGACAAAUUGUAUUUCCUCCCUUCUUCUAUUACCA
rnacentral:lncRNA from 1 species